rfam:Triticum aestivum genome assembly, contig: Triticum_aestivum_CS42_TGACv1_scaffold_578586_7BL
GUGGUACUCCCUCCGUCCGAAAAUACUUUUCUUGAAAAUGGAUAAAAUAGAUGUAUCUAUAACUAAAAUAAAUCUUGAUACAUCUAUUCUAGGACAAGUAUUUCCGGAUGGAGGGAGUAUGUA